rnacentral:rRNA from 1 species
UACGUAGGGGGCAAGCGUUGUCCGGAUUUAUUGGGCGUAAAGAGCGUGUAGGCGGCCAGGUAGGUCUGCUGUGAAAACUCGAGGCUCAACCUCGAGACGUCGGCGGAAACCAUCUGGCUAGAGUCCGGAAGAGGAGAGUGGAAUUCCUGGUGUAGCGGUGAAAUGCGCAGAUAUCAGGAAGAACACCCGUGGCGAAGGCGACUCUUUGGCCUGUAACUGACGCUGAGGCGCGAAAGCGUGGGGAGCAAACAGG